CAGUCGCCGCGGUAAUACGUAGGUGGCAAGCGUUGUCCGGAAUUAUUGGGCGUAAAGGGCUCGCAGGCGGUUUCUUAAGUCUGAUGUGAAAGCCCCCGGCUCAACCGGGGAGGGUCAUUGGAAACUGGGAAACUUGAGCGCAGAAGAGGAGAGUGGAAUUCCACGUGUAGCGGUGAAAUGCGUAGAGAUGUGGAGGAACACCAGUGGCGAAGGCGACUCUCUGGUCUGUAACUGACGCUGAGGAGCGAAAGCGUGGGGAGCGAACAGGAUUAGAUACCCCUGUAGUCCCUGUCUUUAUACA
rnacentral:rRNA from 1 species